rnacentral:rRNA from 1 species
AACGAACGCUGGCGGCAUGCCUAACACACGCAAGUCGAACGAAGUCUUCGGACUUAGUGGCGCACGGGUGCGUAACGCGUGGGAAUCUGCCCUUGGGUGCGGAAUAACUUCUCGAAAGGGAUGCUAAUACCGCAUAAUGUCGUAAGACCAAAGAUUUAUCGCCCAAGGAUGAGCCCGCGUAAGAUUAGCUAGUUGGUGGGGUAAAAGCCUACCAAGGCGACGAUCUUUAGCUGGUCUGAGAGGAUGAUCAGCCACACUGGGACUGAGACACGGCCCAGACUCCUACGGGAGGCAGCAGUGGGGAAUAUUGGACAAUGGGCGAAAGCCUGAUCCAGCAAUGCCGCGUGAGUGAUGAAGGCCCUAGGGUUGUAAAGCUCUUUUACCAGGGAUGAUAAUGACAGUACCUGGAGAAUAAGCUCGGCUAACUCCGUGCCAGCAGCCGCGGUAAU